AUUGAACGCUGGCGGCAUGCUUUACACAUGCAAGUCGGACGAGUGGCGAACGGGUGAGUAACGCAUCGGAACCUACCGAGUGGAGGGGGAUAACUGUUCGAAAGGGCAGCUAAUACCGCAUACUAUUCGAGCUGCCCAUGUCGGAUUAGCUGGUUGUGGGGGUAAAGGCCCACCAAGGCGACGAUCCGUAGCUGGUCUGAGAGGAUGAUCCGCCACACUGGGACUGAGACACGGCCCAGACUCCUACGGGAGGCAGCAGUGGGGAAUAUUCGGCAAUGGGCGCAAGUCUGACGGAGCAACGCCGCGUGAGUGAAGAAGGUUUUCGGAUUGUAAAACUCUGUUGGUAGAGAAGCGGUAUCUGAAGAGGAAGCAACGGCUAACUACGUGCCAGCAGCCGCGGUAAUAC
rnacentral:rRNA from 1 species